GUGAACGCUGGCGGUAGGCCUAACACAUGCAAGUCGAACGGCACCACAGUAAGAGCUUGCUCUUACGGGUGGCGAGUGGCGGACGGGUGAGGAAUACAUCGGAAUCUACUUUUUCGUGGGGGAUAACGUAGGGAAACUUACUCUAAUACCGCAUACUACCUACGGGUGAAAGCAGGGGAUCUUCGGCCCUUGCGCGAUUGAAUGAGCCGAUGUCGGAUUAGCUAGUUGGCGGGGUAAAGGCCCACCAAGGCGACGAUCCGUAGCUGGUCUGAGAGGAUGAUCAGCCACACUGGAACUGAGACACGGUCCAGACUCCUACGGGAGGCAGCAGUGGGGAAUAUUCGACAAUGGGCGCAAGCCUGACCCAGCCAUACCGCGUGGGUGAAGAAGGCCUUCGGGUUGUAAAGCCCUUUUGUUGGGAAAGAAAAGCAGCAGGUUAAUAUCCCGCUGUUCUGACGGUACCCAAAGAAUAAGCACCGGCUAACUUCGUG
rnacentral:rRNA from 1 species